UUGGGCCUACGGGGCGCAGCAGUGAGGAAUAUUGGUCAAUGGGCGGAAGCCUGAACCAGCCAAGUCGCGUGAGGGAAGAAGGCCCUGCGGGUCGCAGACCUCUUUGGACGGGGAGCAAGGCCGCCGACGUGUCGGCGGAAGGAGAGUACCCGUAGAACAAGCAUCGGCUAACUCCGUGCCAGCAGCCGCGGUAAUACGGAGGAUGCGAGCGUUAUCCGGAGUUAUUGGGUUUAAAGGGUGCGCAGGCGGCACGGCAAGCCGGCGGUCAAAUCGCGGGGGUCCACCCCGCCCCGACGUCG
rnacentral:rRNA from 1 species